ACCGUCUGCUAAACCCUAAAUCCAAACCGUAACCCUAAACUAAAAAUCCUAUACCCUAAACCCAAACCCAAUACCCUAAAACCUAAACCUAGACCCAAAACCCAAACCCUAUACCCUAAAUCCAAAAUCUAAACCCUAAAACCUAAACCCUCGACCUAAACACAAACUUUAUACCCUAAACCCAAACCGUAGACCCUAAACUCUAAACCUUAAACCCUAAACUCUAAAUCCUAAACCUGAACUCUAGACCCUAAACUCAAAUCCUAUACCGUAAACCUGACUCCUAUAUCCUAAACUCAAACCCUAUACUUUAAUCUAAACUGUAAAUCCUAAACCCAAAUCCUAUACCCUAAAUGUUUGGAUUAAUGUUGAUAUUGUUCUUUUAGAGUUUAAGGUUAGGAUUUAAGGUUUGGAUUUAUAGUCUACGGUUUGGGUUCAUGAUUUAGGAUCUAGAGUUUGGGUUUAAGGUCUAGGGUUUGAGUACUGAAUCUAAAGUUUGGGUUUAGGAUUUAAGGUUUCGGAUUUAGAGUUUAGAGUUUAGAGUUUAGAGUCUAGAGUUUGGGUUUAGGAUAUAUAGUUUGGAUUUAGGGUAUAUAGUUUGGGUUUAGGGUCUAGGGUUUAGGUUUUAGAAUUUAAGGUUCAAAAUUUAGGGUAUAGGGUUCGGGUUUAGUGUCAUGGUUUGGUUUUAGGGUAUAGAGUUUGGGUUUAGGGUAUAAAGUUUUGGUUAAGGAUUACGGUUUGGAUUUAGGGGUUUGCUGACGGCGUUAGCAUCCUUAAAAUUGACGUUAUUUCUUUUAGCUAUUUUAAUUUUUUUAAAAUUAUUUAAUAUUUUUUAUUCAUUAAUUUAUAUGACAUUAUGAUUGGUUAAUAGAGGUGAGGUGAAUUUAAAAGUUUGCUUAAGUUUUGUUCGAAAAGAAAAAGGGUAAACGGGUGGAUGAGCUAUAGCAUUUAUUAAAUUUGUUGGUCUUAUUCUUCUUUCUGUUAGCCUUUGGGACCAAGGCCGUCUCCAAUUAUUUACGGACCCUGUUCAAAAAAAAAUAUUAUUUAUAUAUUUAACGAUGUGAUGGAGUAAUUUUUUAAAAAAUAUAUAACUUUAUUUAUAUAUAUGUAUAUAUAUUUGACGUUUUUUUUUUGAAAUUAUAAGCUCUAAAUUUAGUGCUAUAUUUAAAAGUUUAAAGUUUUAUAUCAUAAUUUAUAUAUUUAUUUACAAAAAUUCUUAAUUUUUCUUUUAUUUUUUAUUCGGAUCCUGUUCGACCGUUCCACUUGCACGUGCUGUUAGACGGCCCUGUUUGGGACCAUAUCGUCAACAUGUUGAAAUCAUGUCGACACGUAUAAACAUUAAACACAUAUAGUUAUACGUUACAAGUUCAAGUUACGUGUUUGCAUAUAGACAGAUUUACGUAGAGAACUGUAAUUCAACCAAAACGUAGAGUAUCGAUAACUUCAUGUAAUACGUAACAAUACUAUCCUAAGCGAUUGUAUAUCAUUAAACAUACGUAGCAACCAUAAUCAAGCAAGGUUUUUUUUUUUGAAAAGGGAAUAAUCAAGCAAGUUUCAAAGAAAAAACUAUAAACAAGCAUGGCCAGGCAUACUUCGAUUAGUUUUUUUUAAUUCCUCUGUUUUUCUACUCCAAAUAAAAGCCACUGUUUUUCUAUUACCUUUGCACAUCACAAAACCGUUUAAUAUUUGUGUUUUUUUUUAAAGCUCAACUACUAAAAAAACAGUUCAACAGCUGGGUUAGAAAAAACAGUAGUGAUUUCCUAUCCAAAUACAUGGGCAAACAAAAAUAAAAAAAACUUGCAGUUUUAGAGAAAACGAACAAAAAUAACAACGUUGUUAUAAUAUACCAGACACUUGCCCGGGUUUCCUUAUAUUAGUUAUAGGUUUGAUUGCGACCGAACCGAGACUGAGUCGACCAUUUAGCCCAAUCUCUAAAAGUGUUGGGACCAUCAACAUCUUUUGAUUCACUCACCUAAAUUCCACUGUUCCACAUAACUCAAAGUCUCAAAACUAGUUUUAUUAGAGAAAUAAGGAAAUGGUUGGCCAAGAGAUAGAGAAGAUAAAUAUUUUUAAUAGAUUAGGGCUUGGUUGUUCCAAACACAAUUUAAUUUCUUUGAGCAACUUUAUUGGCAAGUUUUUUCAAAGAGGGGUUCUUAACUAAUAAAUAUGGUUAUUUAAUAUUAAUCUAAUUACCUAGUUAAAAUGGGAGAAUUUGCUGAAUAUUCAUAAGAGGUAAAAAAAUGAAAAAUAUAGCCAUUAUACAGUAACUCAAGAUGGAUGGGACAAUUUGCGCAAAACAUGACUAAAAUCUCCCUCCAGGCGCGUGCGCUUGAUGUUGAAAUGCAGAAGAUAAAAUUAUCAUACUAUACUACACACUAUUUAGUAUAGUCACACGAAUAAUUUCACUAUAACUAUAAUAUAUUUCAUUUAGAAUAGCAUGGCAAUUGAUGUUAGUUAACAUAAUGAAACACAACCAAAUAAACCCUAAACCUGCUAUCUAAACCACAACUCUAAACACUAAACCCUAAACCCAAACUCUAAACUUUAAACCCAAACGGUAGACUCUUAAACCCAAACCGUAUACCCUAAACCCAAACUCAAAAUCCAAAAUCUUAACCCAAACCGUAAACCAUAGCAUAGCUACCUAAACCCUAAACCAAAACUCUAAACCAUAAACCCAAACCCUAAACACAAAUUCUUAACCCAAACCAUAGAUCCAAACGGAGCUACCUAAACCCUAACCCCCCCUAAACCCUAAACCCAAACCGUAAACCCUUAACCCAAACCUUAAACCCAAAUUGUAAAACCAAACCAUCGCCCAUAACGAAGCUACCUAAACCCUAACCUUGAAGGUCUAAACUCUAAACCCAAAACCCUAAACCCCCUAAACCCAAACUCUAAACCCUAAACCCAAACCGUAAACCCUUAACCCAAACCCUAAACCCAAAUUGUAAA
rnacentral:lncRNA from 1 species